CAGGUCCAAGUCUAACUAAGCUUUACUCCAACAGCACACUGACACACUUCAGAGGAUCCAUCAGACUGAACAGUUCAUACAAGCUGAUGUUUCCAUCAGUGACUCAGAGAAAUGACACUUUCAUGUUUUUCUACCAUGUUUCUGUCAGGUGACCAGGCUGAGACCCAAUACAUGUUUGUCUCGUGAGCUGCAGUUUGAAGAAGCUGUGGCUGGUCCUGAGGUUUAAACCUGCAUUUGAAUAAAGAUACUUUUUCUGCUCA